UAUUUUAUGCAUGAUAAAGUAAGCGACUAGUAGAUGCUCUAAAAAUUGUUUCCAGCUCCGGAACAAAUUUUUAAGGAUUUCUAUAGAUUUAAAUUUCUAAAUUCCAAACAUUUUUAUACAAUUCACGGCUUUAAAAAACCUUUUUAGCCCGUAGCUAUUUACGUCGCGCUUUAUAUCUUUAAUUCCUUCGUAAAUGCACGGCAUGCAAAUAUAAACAAAUUGCGAGUCUGUGAAAAAAAAGGAUUCUUUUCUUAGUGCUGUCGCUCAGUACAUCGUUUGCAUAUUGCGACACGCUUUGUUACCCCUCGAGAAGAACAGCAAGAGACAAACUCUCACACACCCGCACACACACAUACAUAUCUAUAUAUAAUACACCCACAAUAAAAAUACUAGACUGACUAUAUAAAAAAACAGAAAGAGAAAAUAAAAACAGGUAAAAGCUCCAGAGGGCAAUGAAUACAAUAAACAAAAUGCGUAAACAAGGAGGAAGCGCUCAAAGCGGGCAUGAUUAAAAAGUAAGCAAGAAUAAUUGCAAAACAUUUAAGAACACAGAGGAGGGACAGGUGGAAAGGGGACAGGUGGAAGAUGGAGGAACCAGAGGCACAGAAGCUGUAAAGCAAAUGAAGUGCAUUAGAAAAUAAGAAAUUUAAUUUCGGGCCAAGCCAAAAACCAAUUUUCGUCCCUAAUGGAAUCGUUUCAAGGGGCGUAUGAGUGAUGUAACGAGUCGGGCUAGACUGCCGAGUGCUGCACAUUAACUAGAUAACAGAUACCCAAACAGAUGACACAUCUACACAUACAGAUAUCGUGUUUUAAUCGCUUGACAGUUGAGAGAGAGAUGUGUGAGGAGGGAUUGGUUGGGAGAGCGCUGCCAGUCGAGGCUGUGUAGGAGUCUGUGUGACAGGCACAAUGAAACGCACUAAAUCAUAAAGGAUCUCUGGCUAUAAACUGCACAAAACGCACAAAAACGUUCCUGUUGCUGUUUUAGUGGCUCAAUACAGUGACACAGUCGAACUUGAAGGCAAACUCCAGCUCGAGUUUCGAGGCUGGAGAGCUGAGAGUCGAGGCUGAGCCGAGCCAGAGCAGCAGCAAGUGGCUGUCAAUGCAUUCGGGCAGUGCUUAAGAUAAGAUGCGGGUCUUUGGAGCUUUACUCUGGCUAUAGAUGCCAUAAGAAUACAUAAGCACACGCACACAGACACACACAGGCACACACACUUAAAGUUGACUGUCAAACUUUGUUGGGAUUACAGCAGCUGUGCGAGAGAUAAAGUAGAAAUGCAAUUGAGAACAAUUUAGAUAGCAGGCUAAGGCAGCAAAGCUUGAGAUAUAAAUGAAUGAGUUAUUGUUACGAAAAUGUAAUAAAGCCAAUUAAGGCAAUACAUUGCUCAAAACAUCAUAAUACCAAAAAGUUAUCCGAAUAGGCACAUUUAUUUAAGCUGUCAUGGGCAGCGGCUAACCACAAGCAUUUCACUCGCCCGUAAAUUAUUGGCCAAUUUUACGCACAGAUUACAUAAAAUACUAUUAGGGAAGUUAAGAGAGAUUCCUAUUGAGCAAUAUAAGUGUUUAUUUGGUAUAUACAUAUUUAUACAACGAUUUCUAUCUAUCGACAGUUGGCAACAGUCAAGCAAAGCGAAAGUUAGCCGAAAAGUUUUUAAUAAAUGUCACAAGGGAUAAAAUUUAAAGUUGAGAUUUCAUAUAAAUAUUUAAGAACGUCAAAGUUAAUCCAUCGACGAUUUUUGAAGACACAACGACCAUAUAUAUAUAUAUAUAUAUAUUCCUGACUAGUUAGAAAAGUCAAGUUCUAUUCACCUGUUCACCUGUAUAAACGUUUGAUAUAUAGAUAUACUUCUAUAACAUAAAUGGCAUACUGGCAUACU